CCAACAUGGAAUCUGUUUCAAUUCGUAUAUGCUUCCAAUCUCUGACUACAAAUAAAAAGCUUCAAUUAUUAAUAAAUUUUUUUACGUUCUUCUUAGAAAAAAAACUUGCAAAAUCACUUAUGAGUAGAAGUGCUUAUUAGAUAAGCAUUUUUAGAGAGGUCCGUUGGUUAAAAAGAAAAAAAAUAAAUUAAAUGGGUUGGAUUGGAUCAUAUGUUCAGAUUGUGGAGCGGCCCAAUUCCACCCGCUAAAUUACAGUUUAACCCGACCCUUUCGUUUGCUCGUCCCCGUUUUCCCUGGACCUGAUACACGAACUCCUUCGGCCUUUCCCGACGGCAAAAUAAGCCGUGGAUCUGUCAGCAACUACAGAAAAGUUCAUGGGUUUGCUCCACGUCACCGACGCCUAGCCUUGCUCCUCCACUCUCGUCUACGGCUCCAGUAUGCUCCCUACCCUGAACACCUCCGGCAUGCUUCUCUCCGAACGCGUGUCUCGUAGCAUUGGGAUGGUGGGUUCCAAUAAGCUUAUAAGCUUAUGAUAAUGCUGGCUUAGUAUGCAGCAAAUGCAAUAUUGUAUGUUUAAUCUACUGUGUGAUCCUAGUUA